UUUCAAUUUUCCAACCGUCUCUCUUCCUUCUCUCAUUGCAGCAUAGUUUCUCUCUCUCCUUUUGAUAUUUUGGAAGCUUAAGGUUGGCGGUUGAAGGCCAGUCAUCGGCGACGGGGAGUUCAUUGUAGAAGGCAAGGUUCGCGGUUGAAUAGCACGUGUUGGCGACGUCGUCGUUAAUGGUGGAGCGAGGAGGGUCGCGACUGGGCAAACGGGCUGGAGGUUCAGCGUCAGCGUCAGAACCAACAAUAAGGGCUAUGGUUGCACACAUGGUGGCGUCUUUGUCCCCAUCCCCUGGUGAUGAUGAUGAUUUUGUUGAAGGCCCUGUUCCUUAAUAUUGGUGUGUGUUCGAUUACGUUUGACUUUACUAUCUUUUUUCUUUAAUGGUUUAGAGUUUUGACAUUGUUAUAUUUAUGCUUUGUUUAUAAACUGUUGUUGCAUGAGUAUUUUAAACAAGUAGGUGACCUUUCAAGUCUGGUUUGUGCACGCAAAAAAGAAAAUAUCAAAGAACAAAGAAAGCGGAAAGUGAUUAAAGAAUGCACGCGAAAAAACAUACAAAGAAGAAGCUGAAGAACAGCGGGAAGGGAUAGCAAGUGACUUAUGAAAUGUAGUGCUAUAUCAAAAAUACAUGUUCUAUUUAAAUCUCAACUACAAUUUGAUUUAUGAAAUGACUUAUAUUCUUAUUUGCA